GUGGCUCCAGUAGGUGGCUAAAAAGACAGACAGAUGUUUAAGUAAUCUUGAGCACAUUAUUUUUAUGAAAGCCAGAAAUGAAGGUUAUGAGUUUGGGCAUCUCAAAGUUGGUAAUUUCCAAUCAGCAGCUUAAGGACUUAUGCAGAGAGUGUAAGCAGUCAGCAAGGAACCAGGGAAAAUAAUAGUAGGGACACCAGACGUGCCUGCAAUAUUCCAGUAUCAAUUUCAUCAAUACUACGUACACAGAAGGAUCUCAACAGGCUGAAGAGAUAAGCAGAGAGGAACCUCUUGAAAUUCAACAAAAACAAGUAGAGGGCAGAGAUCCCAUGCACAGGGGAAUGGAGCACCUCAUGUAUGAGAAAAGGCUUGGGGAACUGAUACUGUUCAGCCUAGAGAAGAGAAGGCUCUGGAGAGGAUCUCAUCAAUGUGUAUCUGAAAGGAAAAAUGGCAAAAGGUUCUUUUCAAUCAUGUCCAGCACCAGGAGGAGUGGCAACGAGCACAAACUGAAACAGAGGAAGUUCUGGCUGAACGUAAAGAAAAAUGUACUUACUGUGAAGAUGACAGAGAACAGGAACAGUUUGCUGAGAGAGGCUGUGGAAUCUUUUCCUGGAGAUAUUCAAAAGCCAUCUGGGUAACGUGCUACAGGGGAUGCUGUUUGAGCAGGGGAGUUAGACUAGAUGAUCUCCAGAGGUCCCUUCCAACCUCAACCAUUCUGCGAUUCUGUGAUUUAUGUUUGAAUUGGACUUCCAGCCAUCUUCCA
ensembl:lncRNA